rnacentral:tRNA from 1 species
GCCUGGGUGGCGGAAUGGGUAGACGCAAGGGACUUAAAAUCCCUUUCAGCAAUGCUGAGUGCGAGUUCGAUCCUCGCCCCAGGCACCA